rnacentral:rRNA from 1 species
GACAGAGGUGCCAAGCGUUAGGCGGAAUCACUGGGCUUAAAGCGUGUGUAGGCGGACUUCUAAGUACCUUGUGAAAUCCCCCGGCUCAACCGGGGAACGGCUGGGUAUACUGGGAGUCUUGGGCCAGCUAGGGGUCGCCGGAACAAGUGGUGGAGCGGAGAAAUGCGUAGAUAUCACUUGGAACGCCAAUGGUGAAAACAGGCGACUGGGGCUGUGCUGACGCUGAGACACGAAAGCCAGGGGAGCGAACGGG